AACGAACGCUGGCGGCAUGCCUAACACAUGCAAGUCGAACGAGACCUUCGGGUCUAGUGGCGCACGGGUGCGUAACGCGUGGGAACCUGCCCUUAGGUUCGGAAUAACUCCCCGAAAGGGGUGCUAAUACCGGAUAAUGUCUUCGGACCAAAGAUUUAUCGCCUUUGGAUGGGCCCGCGUUGGAUUAGCUAGUUGGUAGAGUAAAAGCCUACCAAGGCGACGAUCCAUAGCUGGUCUGAGAGGAUGAUCAGCCACACUGGGACUGAGACACGGCCCAGACUCCUACGGGAGGCAGCAGUGGGGAAUAUUGGGCGAGGGGCGCAAGCCUGAUACAGCAAUGCCGCGUGAGUGAUGAAGGCCUUAGGGUUGUAAAGCUCUUUUACCCGGGAUGAUAAUGACAGUACCGGGAGAAUAAGCUCCGGCUAACUCCGUG
rnacentral:rRNA from 1 species